rnacentral:rRNA from 1 species
GGGUUGUGAGGUUAAGCGACUAAGCGUACACGGUGGAUGCCCUGGCAGUCAGAGGCGAUGAAGGACGUGCUAAUCUGCGAUAAGCGUCGGUAAGGUGAUAUGAACCGUUAUAACCGGCGAUUUCCGAAUGGGGAAACCCAGUGUGUUUCGACACACUAUCAUUAACUGAAUCCAUAGGUUAAUGAGGCGAACCGGGGGAACUGAAACAUCUAAGUACCCCGAGGAAAAGAAAUCAACCGAGAUUCCCCCAGUAGCGGCGAGCGAACGGGGAGCAGCCCAGAGCCUGAAUCAGUAUGUGUGUUAGUGGAAGCGUCUGGAAAGGCGCGCGAUACAGGGUGACAGCCCCGUACACAAAAAUGCACAUGCUGUGAGCUCGAUGAGUAGGGCGGGACACGUGGUAUCCUGUCUGAAUAUGGGGGGACCAUCCUCCAAGGCUAAAUACUCCUGACUGACCGAUAGUGAACCAGUACCGUGAGGGAAAGGCGAAAAGAACCCCGGCGAGGGGAGUGAAAAAGAACCUGAAACCGUGUACGUACAAGCAGUGGGAGCACGCUUAGGCGUGUGACUGCGUACCUUUUGUAUAAUGGGUCAGCGACUUAUAUUCUGUAGCAAGGUUAACCGAAUAGGGGAGCCGAAGGGAAACCGAGUCUUAACUGGGCGUUAAGUUGCAGGGUAUAGACCCGAAACCCGGUGAUCUAGCCAUGGGCAGGUUGAAGGUUGGGUAACACUAACUGGAGGACCGAACCGACUAAUGUUGAAAAAUUAGCGGAUGACUUGUGGCUGGGGGUGAAAGGCCAAUCAAACCGGGAGAUAGCUGGUUCUCCCCGAAAGCUAUUUAGGUAGCGCCUCGUGAAUUCAUCUCCGGGGGUAGAGCACUGUUUCGGCAAGGGGGUCAUCCCGACUUACCAACCCGAUGCAAACUGCGAAUACCGGAGAAUGUUAUCACGGGAGACACACGGCGGGUGCUAACGUCCGUCGUGAAGAGGGAAACAACCCAGACCGCCAGCUAAGGUCCCAAAGUCAUGGUUAAGUGGGAAACGAUGUGGGAAGGCCCAGACAGCCAGGAUGUUGGCUUAGAAGCAGCCAUCAUUUAAAGAAAGCGUAAUAGCUCACUGGUCGAGUCGGCCUGCGCGGAAGAUGUAACGGGGCUAAACCAUGCACCGAAGCUGCGGCAGCGACACUAUGUGUUGUUGGGUAGGGGAGCGUUCUGUAAGCCUGUGAAGGUGUACUGUGAGGUAUGCUGGAGGUAUCAGAAGUGCGAAUGCUGACAUAAGUAACGAUAAAGCGGGUGAAAAGCCCGCUCGCCGGAAGACCAAGGGUUCCUGUCCAACGUUAAUCGGGGCAGGGUGAGUCGACCCCUAAGGCGAGGCCGAAAGGCGUAGUCGAUGGGAAACAGGUUAAUAUUCCUGUACUUGGUGUUACUGCGAAGGGGGGACGGAGAAGGCUAUGUUGGCCGGGCGACGGUUGUCCCGGUUUAAGCGUGUAGGCUGGUUUUCCAGGCAAAUCCGGAAAAUCAAGGCUGAGGCGUGAUGACGAGGCACUACGGUGCUGAAGCAACAAAUGCCCUGCUUCCAGGAAAAGCCUCUAAGCAUCAGGUAACAUCAAAUCGUACCCCAAACCGACACAGGUGGUCAGGUAGAGAAUACCAAGGCGCUUGAGAGAACUCGGGUGAAGGAACUAGGCAAAAUGGUGCCGUAACUUCGGGAGAAGGCACGCUGAUAUGUAGGUGAAGUCCCUCGCGGAUGGAGCUGAAAUCAGUCGAAGAUACCAGCUGGCUGCAACUGUUUAUUAAAAACACAGCACUGUGCAAACACGAAAGUGGACGUAUACGGUGUGACGCCUGCCCGGUGCCGGAAGGUUAAUUGAUGGGGUCAGCGCAAGCGAAGCUCUUGAUCGAAGCCCCGGUAAACGGCGGCCGUAACUAUAACGGUCCUAAGGUAGCGAAAUUCCUUGUCGGGUAAGUUCCGACCUGCACGAAUGGCGUAAUGAUGGCCAGGCUGUCUCCACCCGAGACUCAGUGAAAUUGAACUCGCUGUGAAGAUGCAGUGUACCCGCGGCAAGACGGAAAGACCCCGUGAACCUUUACUAUAGCUUGACACUGAACAUUGAGCCUUGAUGUGUAGGAUAGGUGGGAGGCUUUGAAGUGUGGACGCCAGUCUGCAUGGAGCCGACCUUGAAAUACCACCCUUUAAUGUUUGAUGUUCUAACGUUGACCCGUGAUCCGGGUUGCGGACAGUGUCUGGUGGGUAGUUUGACUGGGGCGGUCUCCUCCUAAAGAGUAACGGAGGAGCACGAAGGUUGGCUAAUCCUGGUCGGACAUCAGGAGGUUAGUGCAAUGGCAUAAGCCAGCUUGACUGCGAGCGUGACGGCGCGAGCAGGUGCGAAAGCAGGUCAUAGUGAUCCGGUGGUUCUGAAUGGAAGGGCCAUCGCUCAACGGAUAAAAGGUACUCCGGGGAUAACAGGCUGAUACCGCCCAAGAGUUCAUAUCGACGGCGGUGUUUGGCACCUCGAUGUCGGCUCAUCACAUCCUGGGGCUGAAGUAGGUCCCAAGGGUAUGGCUGUUCGCCAUUUAAAGUGGUACGCGAGCUGGGUUUAGAACGUCGUGAGACAGUUCGGUCCCUAUCUGCCGUGGGCGCUGGAGAACUGAGGGGGGCUGCUCCUAGUACGAGAGGACCGGAGUGGACGCAUCACUGGUGUUCGGGUUGUCAUGCCAAUGGCACUGCCCGGUAGCUAAAUGCGGAAGAGAUAAGUGCUGAAAGCAUCUAAGCACGAAACUUGCCCCGAGAUGAGUUCUCCCUGACCCUUUAAGGGUCCUGAAGGAACGUUGAAGACGACGACGUUGAUAGGCCGGGUGUGUAAGCGCAGCGAUGCGUUGAGCUAACCGGUACUAAUGAACCGUGAGGCUUAACCUUACAACGCCGAAG